CAGGGAAUAGUUUAAGUAGAACUUCAGCUUUGGGUGU
rnacentral:tRNA from 1 species